GACCACUCCGGUGGCCGAUUGGUUCGAGCGUCCGCCUCGGAUGCGGAAAGUCGCGGUUUCGAAUCCCGGCCGAGUCA